AUGGCCGGCGGAAUCGUGACCGUGGCGAGCGGGGUGAUGAACCCCCUCAUCGGCAAGCUCACCACACUCAUGGGCGACGAGUACAACAAGUUCAAAGGGAUCAAGAAGCAGGCGUCCUUCCUCCAGAAGGAGCUCAGCGCCAUGAACGCCGCCCUACAGAAGCUUGAGCUCAUGGAUGACGACCUCGAUCCAACCAUCAAGGAUUGGAGGGACCAUGUCAGGGAGAUGUCCUACGACAUGGAGAACUACAUUGAUGAUUUCAUACGCCAAUCUCAGGCUGUCAAUGCCAAGGUGGGUUUUGUCAAGAAGACUGCUCAGCACAUCAAGAAGUUGCGAUGGCGUCUUCGGAUUGCUGACCAGAUGGAAGAGCUGAAGAACCUUGCAAUAGAGGCGAAUGCUCGGCGCCAAAGGUAUAAGAUUGAUGAUUGGAAGCCUUCCUCUAGCAUUGUGGUUGUUGACCCUCGAAUCCCAGCGCUCUACCAAGAGGCAUCUACUCUUGUGGGAAUUGAUGGCCCAAGGGAGGAGGUUGCCACUUUGUUGUUGGAUAAUCGAAAGGAUGUCAAGGUCGUGUCCAUAGUCGGAUUCCGCGGUCUUGGUAAAACAACACUUGCCAAACAUGUAUAUUCAAAGAUUGGAUCACAAUUCAACUGCAAGGCAUACAUUUCAGUUUCACAGAGGCCUGAUAUGACCGACCUCCUCAAAAAUUUCCAAUUGAAACUAGGGAUGGAGGAUCCCAAGUCAUCUCGUGGCAAGGUUGACGACAUCAUCGAAGAGGUAAGAAAACAUUUGAAAAAUAAGAGGUAUUACUUUGCAUGGGCUAUACUCUUGUUGUAUUUCAGUUCAACAAUUGGUUAA
rnacentral:rRNA from 1 species